CAGCAGCCACGGUAAGACAGAGGAUGCAAGCGUUAUCCGGAAUGAUUGGGCGUAAAGAGCUCGUAGGCGGUCUGUCGCGUCUGGUGUGAAAUCCCGAGGCUCAACCUCGGGCUUGCAUCGGGUACGGGCAGACUAGAGUGCGGUAGGGGAGACUGGAAUUCCUGGUGUAGCGGUGGAAUGCGCAGAUAUCAGGAGGAACACCGAUGGCGAAGGCAGGUCUCUGGGCCGCAACUGACGCUGAGGAGCGAAAGCAUGGGGAGCGAACAGGAUUAGAUACCCCAGUAGUCCCUGUCUCUUAUAC
rnacentral:rRNA from 1 species